rnacentral:rRNA from 1 species
UACGUAGGGGGCAAGCGUUGUCCGGAAUCAUUGGGCGUAAAGAGCGUGUAGGCGGUCCGGUAAGUCGGCUGUGAAAGUCCAGGGCUCAACCCUGGGAUGCCGGUCGAUACUGCCGGACUAGAGUUCGGAAGAGGCGAGUGGAAUUCCCGGUGUAGCGGUGAAAUGCGUAGAGAUCGGGAGGAAGGCCGGUGGCGAAGGCGGCGCUCUGGAACAUUUCUGACGCUGAGGCUCGAAAGCGUGGGGAGCAAACAGG